UGAGCAUAGCAAGAUACAGGCAACGUUCGAUUCCAGGCAUAGAAGUUGUGUAUUUUAGUUCCCGUUGUGAAGAACCCAGUAGACUGAAGAAAAGCGUUUGUUUUUAGAUAACAUAGCAUGGCCUGAUAUUUUUGGACAACAUUGAAAAAACAUGUUGAUAUAUUUGACGAUAUUCCAAAGUUGUGUCGGUAAUUCCCAAAAUAAAAGAAUAAUCGAGUUAAUUGAGUGAAAACACUAUGGACAAAGAUAUAUGCUAUAUAUUCCGUUAUGUUAUGGCUUAGACUUAGAUAUUAUAUAUCUAUAUCAUGGGAAACAUUACACAAUGUUUGUAUCUCUCUAAAUGAAAGCAUGAUUCUAUAUAUAUGGCAUUUGCUUUACUUUCAAAUUGAAAUAAAAGUCAAAGUUCAUUAAAGGUCUCCGUUCUAACCAAUUUUGCCGGUACUUCCGGUCCGCUGGGAGACCUAUUGCCAGUGGGCACUUCUGUUCAUCAGUUCACCGCCACCGACCAGGAUGACGCCAUUUCCUGUUCCAUCAACGCACCGGAGGGCGCAAAGUUUGGCAUCACUAAGGUGGAUACCGCUACCGGAGCUCAACCUAAGUUUGGUGACGUCAUUACGUGAAUGUGUAGACGUCGUUACGGUUCGACGUCAUGACGAUUGCCACGCUUGAUUACGACUCUGCUACGAGUUACACGAUCACCGUCACGUGUACUGACGCUAUCAACCCUGUGACGUCAUCAAGGACCAUCAACUUAGCAGAUGACGUCGUCCAGCGUCUUCUCGACUACAGAUGUAUCGACCUGCCCCUGUGGCCCUUCAGGGGAGAAAAUAAGGUCACUGAAGUCGAGAAACCCGUUUUCUCCGGACUUCGGCUACGUUGUCGCCGGCACGUAACGACGGCUUUCAGACGGCGACGUUACUUUGCACGUUCAGCGUCACGGACGCCAACGACCAGAGUAUUAUCACGUGCUGGAUACAGGAAUUUAAAGCUGGUUCGGUGGCUGUGCGACGUCAUUGGGGAAGUUCACAACUACGGACCCGGAUACGACAUGUUCUGUGACGUCACCUUUGACAACAGUCUAUGAGAUCAGAAAAAUUGCGUCACCGACCGAUCCCUAGAAACCGGAGUUCGAAGUGUGGAUCAGAAACGCCGUUACCCAGGCGUCUAUCGACUUCAAUGACUAGGCUGUUCCGCUGCCGCUAACAAUCAAGUGCACAGACGGAAACGUUGUCAAUGACAUCACGGGGACGUUUAACGUCAACAUCGUGGACUCGCCACCGGUUUUCACUGCACUGCCUGCUACCGGAUCUAACAUUUUCGACGGUCUCAAACACGCCACCGAAACCCUUCACACAUUCAGCGUCACCGAUAGCGACUACACCGUUACGUGCUCUGCCAGAGCGCCGGAAAACGCCCUUUUUGAAGUGGUCGCCGGCGUGGCACCAAGUAAUAAACUGGAAAAAUCAAUACCAAUUUAAUCCUCGUUCUGGGAAAACUGGGCUUAAUGCAUGUGCUUUAAAAGUCGUCUCUGAGCGGACCCAGGCUAAAAGGAUAUACAGUUAACAUAAGGAUGGGGGUUACGCUAAGAGCAGAGAACGGACCUUACGUCAUCAACGUCGACUGCUCAGAUGGCGACAAUGACGUCACUGUGACGUUCACACAACCAGUGAUGGAUACCCCGCCGACCGUUGUAUCCGGGAUCCCCUGAAGUUCCCCAACGUAUCUGACGCCACUGUCACGCAGACGUUACUCGGGAAGUUUACAACAGACCCAGAUACGGCGCGCUCUGUGACGUCACCAUCCACCACCGUGUAUGAGAUCAGAAAUGUGACGGUGAAUGUUUCUCAGCCAGAAAAUCCUCCAGUAAGGAUAAGAAGUUUAUUGCGGCUGAUGUUGACACAUAUCUCUAUGAGGUUAGGGGAAACAUUGGUGAACGCUGCCUGCCCGACAACACGAAAAUGUUGGCUCUGUACAAGGUCAACCCCAACGCUGAGUGGGUCUUGAAACACAGACAACGCAUGAAAGCCGAUUAACCGCGUCUUAAAAUUGUUCGACAGAGACUGAAAUUUUGCUGGCAGAGAGAAUGGGCAAAACCUCGUAUUUAGCGGUUCUGACAAAAGCCCUCCAUCCCAUUUCUGUGUAUAGCUCUCAUUUCCAUUUAGAGCUCCAAUAACUAUUUUGAGCUCCCAUUUCUAUUUAGAGCUCACUUGUGUUUUUAGAGCCCUAAUGUCUGUUAAGAGCUUCAAUUUAUAUGUAUUGCUCCCAUUACUAUUUAAAGCUUCUUUGUUAUUGUACGUUUUCUGCAAAGUAUUAUACAUGUAUUAUAAUUACUGAUGCUGGCCCUUUUUGACCCAUAUCCGACAGUGUUGUCUCAUUACAUUUAAUGUUAUGUGCAUCACAAAUGUUGCGCUAAGUUAUUUCGUGUGUUUGUAUACUAGAUGACUAUUAGGAAUAUGUACUAUAAUAGUAAAUAUGGCUAUACACAUGUUAUUAAAUACGUCUGAAGAUGAAA